rnacentral:rRNA from 1 species
UACGUAGGGUGCGAGCGUUGUCCGGAAUUACUGGGCGUAAAGAGCUCGUAGGUGGUUUGUCGCGUUGUCCGUGAAAACUCACAACUCAAUUGUGGGCGUGCGGGCGAUACGGGCAGACUGGAGUACUGCAGGGGAGACUGGAAUUCCUGGUGGUAGCGGUGGAAUGCGCAGAUAUCAGGAGGAACACCGGUGGCGAAGGCGGGGUCUCUGGGCAGUAACUGACGCUGAGGAGCGAAAGCGUGGGGGAGCGAACAGG